rnacentral:lncRNA from 1 species
AGAUCCCCUGCCUGCAGCACGUGCUGAUCUCCAAGGGUGAGGCUGGAUGAAGCCAGGGGCUAUGGAAAGGGAGACUGUUUCAGAGGACUUGACACCAUCUUCAGUAAUUUCUCUGGUUCUUGGCAGCUCCAUUUGGCUGCGUCCCUACCCUGCAUAACCCUCCCAGCUAGUCUACUCCAGGGCAGCAUCCAGCUGGUGACCUGAGAGGGCAGUGGCGCACCAGUCUCCAUGAAGGUUGAGCUCCGAUGGCCAACAGCCAUUUCCACCUUGUGGUCUACAACUCUUCAUCCCGACUGCAUGGAGGUUGGUCUCUCUCUUCAGCUGGAUUUAGGCCACCAUCUGAGCCCCCGGGGUACGUUUUGUCUGACCCUGGCGCCAUUCGAACGGUUCUUCUACAGCAUCAGGCGUUCACCUGGCUCCUAGGGCUUUUGUGCUGUAGGCCUAUAUUUCCAGCUACUUUUGGAAAAAAUCUCUCUGGAGGCUCAAUGAGCUUGUCACAUCAGCCUGCCCAGAGUAUCAAGAAAGACUUAAUCAGCAGUGAAUACUCUCCACCAAGCCCUUGACCCAUUGUCAGUCUCUGGCAUCAGAUCCUUUCCAGUAGGGCAAAGUGCAACUGCAGCCAGCUCAUGCCUUCAAGAGAAGGACUGAAGAUCAUUGUGUGCCUAAACCAAUUCUCUUUCCUGCCACCAUGUGAAGAAGGACAUGUUUGCUUCCCCUUCUGCCAUGAAUGAAAAACAUGGCCAGCAAAGCAGGUGAGGCAAAGAUCAGGAAGGACAUUAAACGCCAAACUAAGGAGCGGAACUGAAUGAGCAGUGAAGGGGAACAAUGGCUUCAGCAGGUCCACUGGGCUCCUCUUUUCUGUCAGCCUCCCCCUACCCCUCACCUCUGUACUACUCAUGUUACUAUCUACGUCUCUUCACCAAUGUCAUUGUGGAAAUAAAAGCUUAUCUGUAAGAGUA